CCUACGGGAGGCAGCAGUGAGGAAUAUUGGUCAAUGGUCGGGAGACUGAACCAGCCAAGCCGCGUGAGGGAUGAAGGUACAGAGUAUCGUAAACCUCUUUUGUCAGGGAACAAAGGCGGGGACGUGUCCCCGGAUGAGUGUACCUGAAGAAAAAGCAUCGGCUAACUCCGUGCCAGCAGCCGCGGUAAUACGGAGGAUGCGAGCGUUAUCCGGAUUUAGUGGGUUUAAAGGGGGCGCAGGCGGUCUGUUAAGUCAGAGGUCAAAGCCCGGGGCUCAACCCCGGCCCGCCGUUGAACCUGGCAGUCUCGAGUUGGAGAGAAGUAUGCGGAAUGCGCGGUGUAGCGGUGAAAUGCAUAGAUAGCGCGCAGAACUCCGAUUGCGAAGGCAGCAUGCCGGCUCCACACUGACGCUGAGGCACGAAAGCGUGGGUAUCGAACAGGAUUAGAUACCCUUGUAGUC
rnacentral:rRNA from 1 species